GCCCGCCUAGCUCAAUCGGCCAGAGCGUCAGACUUUUACAGUCGUAUGACUGAAGGAAUCUGAAGGCUGCGAGUUCGACCCUCGCGGUGGGCU